CCUACGGGAGGCAGCAGUGGGGAAUCUUCCGCAAUGGGCGAAAGCCUGACGGAGCAACGCCGCGUGAUCGAAUGAAGGCCUUCGGGUUGUAAAGAUCUGUUGACAGGGACGAAUAAGCAAUGCGAAUAGUUUUGUGUAUGACGGUACCUGUUUAGAAAGCUCCGGCUAACUACGUGCCAGCAGCCGCGGUAAUACGGAGGGUGCGAGCGUUAAUCGGAAUUACUGGGCGUAAAGCGCUCGUAGGCGGUAUGUCAAGUCAAGGGUGAAAUCCCCGCGCUCAACGUGGGAACUGCCUUUGAAACUGGCAAACUGGAGUGUGUGAGAGGAUAGUGGAAUUCCAGGUGUAGGAGUGAAAUCCGUAGAUAUCUGGAGGAACAUCAGUGGCGAAGGCGACUAUCUGGCACAUAACUGACGCUGAGGAGCGAAAGCGUGGGUAGCAAACAGGAUUAGAUACCCGAGUAGUC
rnacentral:rRNA from 1 species